rnacentral:rRNA from 1 species
GAUCAUGGCUCAGGAUGAACGCUAGCUACAGGCUUAACACAUGCAAGUCGAGGGGCAGCAUGAACUUAGCUUGCUAAGUUUGAUGGCGACCGGCGCACGGGUGAGUAACACGUAUCCAACCUGCCGAUGACUCGGGGAUAGCCUUUCGAAAGAAAGAUUAAUACCCGAUGGCAUAGUUCUUCCGCAUGGUGGAACUAUUAAAGAAUUUCGGUCAUCGAUGGGGAUGCGCU